AGAGUUUGAUCCUGGCUCAGGAUGAACGCUGGCGGCGUGCCUAAUACAUGCAAGUCGAGCGAACCACUUCGGUGGUGAGCGGCGAACGGGUGAGUAACACGUAGGUUAUCUGCCCAUCAGACGGGGACAACGAUUGGAAACGAUCGCUAAUACCGGAUAGGACGAAAGUUUAAAGGUGCUUCUGGCACCGCUGAUGGAUGAGCCUGCGGCGCAUUAGCUAGUUGGUAGGGUAAAGGCCUACCAAGGCGACGAUGCGUAGCCGACCUGAGAGGGUGAACGGCCACACUGGGACUGAGACACGGCCCAGACUCCUACGGGAGGCAGCAGUAGGGAAUCUUCGGCAAUGGGCGAAAGCCUGACCGAGCAACGCCGCGUGAAUGAUGAAGGCCUUCGGGUUGUAAAAUUCUGUUAUAAGGGAAGAACGACUUUAGUAGGAAAUGGCUAGAGUGUGACGGUACCUUAUGAGAAAGCCACGGCUAACUACGUGCCAGCAGCCGCGGUAAUACGUAGGUGGCGAGCGUUAUCCGGAAUUAUUGGGCGUAAAGAGCGCGCAGGUGGUUGAUUAAGUCUGAUGUGAAAGCCCACGGCUUAACCGUGGAGGGUCAUUGGAAACUGGUCAACUUGAGUGCAGAAGAGGGAAGUGGAAUUCCAUGUGUAGCGGUGAAAUGCGUAGAGAUAUGGAGGAACACCAGUGGCGAAGGCGGCUUCCUGGUCUGUAACUGACACUGAGGCGCGAAAGCGUGGGGAGCAAACAGGAUUAGAUACCCUGGUAGUCCACGC
rnacentral:rRNA from 1 species